GACGAACGCUGGCGGCGUGCUUAACACAUGCAAGUCGAACGGAAAGGCCCUGCUUUUGUGGGGUGCUCGAGUGGCGAACGGGUGAGUAACACGUGAGUAACCUGCCCUUGACUUUGGGAUAACUUCAGGAAACUGGGGCUAAUACCGGAUAGGAGCUCCUGCUGCAUGGUGGGGGUUGGAAAGUUUCGGCGGUUGGGGAUGGACUCGCGGCUUAUCCGCUUGUUUGUGGGGUAGUGGCUUACCAAGGGUUUGACGGGUAGCCGGCCUGAGAGGGUGACCGGCCACAUGGGGACUGAGAUACGGACCAAACUGCAACGGGAGGCAGCAGUGGGGAAUAUUGCAGAAUGGGCGGAAGCCUGAUGCAGCAACGCCGCGUGCGGGAUGACGGCCUUCGGGUUGUAAACCGAUUUCGCAUGUGACGAAGCGUGAGUGACGGUAAUGGGUAAAGAAGCACCGGCUAACUACGUG
rnacentral:rRNA from 1 species